CCGUCGAUAGCUCAGUUGGUAGAGCGGAGGACUGUAGAUAUCCUUAGGUCGCUGGUUCGAAUCCGGCUCGACGGA
rnacentral:tRNA from 3 species